UACGUAGGGUGCAAGCGUUGUCCGGAAUUAUUGGGCGUAAAGAGCUCGUAGGCGGUCUGUCGCGUCUGCUGUGAAAAUCCAGGGCUCAACCCUGGACCUGCAGUGGGUACGGGCAGACUAGAGUGCGGUAGGGGAGAUCGGAAUUCCUGGUGUAGCGGUGAAAUGCAUUGAGAUCGGAAAGAACACCAACGGCGAAAGCACUCUGCUGGGCCGACACUGACACUGAGAGACGAAAGCUAGGGGAGCAAAUGGG
rnacentral:rRNA from 1 species